rnacentral:tRNA from 1 species
GCCUCGUGGUGAGCCACAUCAAAUUGCAAGUUUGAAGAAGCACCCGAAAAGGUGCCGGGGCUU